rnacentral:rRNA from 1 species
GAUGAACGCUAGCUACAGGCUUAACACAUGCAAGUCGCGGGGCAGCAUGGGGGUUGCUUGCAAUCCCCGAUGGCGACCGGCGCACGGGUGAGUAACGCGUAUCCAACCUGCCCUUCACCACGGGAUAACCCGGCGAAAGUCGGACUAAUACCGUAUGUUGUCUAUUGACGGCGUCCGAGUAGGACGAAAGGGUUGGCGGUGAAGGAGGGGGAUGCGUCCGAUUAGCUGGACGGCGGGGUGACGGCGCACCGUGGCGACGAUCGGUAGGGGUUCUGAGAGGAAGGUCCCCCACACUGGAACUGAGACACGGUCCAGACUCCUACGGGAGGCAGCAGUGAGGAAUAUUGGUCAAUGGGCGUAAGCCUGAACCAGCCAAGUAGCGUGCAGGAUGACGGCCCUAUGGGUUGUAAACUGCUUUUAUGCGGGGAUAAAGUGGCCCACGUGUGGGUUUUUGCAGGUACCGCAUGAAUAAGGACCGGCUAAUUCCGUG